GGGUUGAAGCAUGACCGUAAGGACAUGUGGACAGUAUGGGAGUGAGAAUGUUGGCAUGAGUAGCGAGAUGUGGGUGAGAAUCCCACAGGCCGUAAACCCAAGGUUUCCAGGGGAAGGUUCGUCCGCCCUGGGUUAGUCGGGACCUAAGCUGAGGCCGAAAGGCGUAGGUGAUGGACAACAGGUUGAUAUUCCUGUACUACCGAUAACCGUUUGAGAGAAGGGAUGACACAGUAGGAUAAGCUAAGCACACUGUUGGUUAUGUGUGCCCAAGCAUUGAGGCAGUCAAAGUAGGCAAAUCCGCUUUGAUAAUGCUGGGAUGUGAUGGGGAGCGAAAUUUAGUAGCGAAGUAGCUGAUUUCACACUGUCAAGAAAAGUCUCUAUCGAGGUUAAAGGUACCCGUACCGCAAACCGACACAGGUGGGUGAGGAGAGUAUCCUAAGGCCAGCGAGAGAACUGUUGUUAAGGAACUCGGCAAAAUGACCCCGUAACUUAGGGAUAAGGGGUGCCACCAUCAGGUGGCCGCAGAGAAUAGGCCCAAGCGACUGUUUACCAAAAACAUAGGUUUCUGCUAAGUCGCAAGACGAUGUAUAGGAGCUGACGCCUGCCCGGUGCUGGAAGGUUAAGGGGAUCUGUUAGAGCAAUCGAAGCAGUGAACUUAAGCCCCAGUAAACGGCGGCCGUAACUAUAACGGUCCUAAGGUAGCGAAAUUCCUUGUCGGGUAAGUUCCGACCCGCACGAAAGGCGUAACGAUUUGGGCACUGUCUCAACAACAGACUCGGUGAAAUUGUAAUUCCGGUGAAGAUGCCGGAUACCUGCGACAGGACGGAAAGACCCCAUGGAGCUU
rnacentral:rRNA from 1 species